CCCAGACCUAGCAAGCCAGCGAGGCACACGCAUGCGGGGCAGGAGCUGCUCGCGAGUUCCAGUGCGUAGCCGCCGCCCGCCACCUGCCGGUGACUUCCCACCGCCCCGGCCCCUCCGUCGCUUGCCUGCUCCGCCUGGCGCCCGCUCGCUGGCUCUGCUCGCUCUGCACGCCAGCUCUGCUCCGGCCUCCCCUGGUCCGCCACGCCGUCUGCCCAAGCUAGCCCCACUACAGGAACUGCCGAACUGGUGUGCCGGCUGCAGAAUUGAAAUAAGAGAUGAAGAGAUAUUUUUCAUCCGUCGCUGCAACGUAAGUGUCCACACCGGUGUUUUAACUCGAGGGAAUCAAGGGGCUGAGAGGACCGACGCAACUCUAGAAAAUGAACCAUAUGCAGAAAUGGGACCACCGCCUGUUAUGGAAGAGCCUGAUGAAGCAAGCCAUUGAUUUGGUACUCUUUUUUAUCAGGUUUGGCUGGAAUAAAAGGACCAUGUCGUCCGCGUAUUGGAGAUGAGAGAUCCCACCAGGAAGGAGAUGAGGCACCACCCCUCUCAGGUGCCCAGCCGUUUUCGCCUUGUGUAACAUAUCCUAAAGGGAAUCAACCACCAUGUUGAAGAGCAGCGGGGAUAUAUAGUCACCCUGACGUAGUCCUCUGUGGUUACGGAAGAAACCUCCUACCUCCCCAUUGAUCAUAAUGGCCGUCAGCCCUCCUUCAACCAACUGACAAAUAUGACUAAUGAAACCCGAUUCGAAGCCUUUGCGAUGUAACACUUCCCGUGGGAAUGACUAGCUCACCCUAUCAUAGGAUUUUUCGAAGUCGAGCUUAAGGAUAACGGCCGGUAUUUUUUUCUUUUUGAGCUCAUGGAUAACUUCGUUAAGGCAAAGAACCCCUUCCAGGAUAAAUCUUCCCUUUAGGAAAGUAGUUUGGGCGUGGUCCACAAUUUUUUCUGCAAUAGGGCCAAGGCACAAGGCUCGCCGAUCAUUGGGCAAGUCAAUCAAAGUCC